UGGACCAGUGGUGACGGCUGGUGGCGUGGGAGGUGUGGAUGAUGAAUACUACAUGUUUUGAACCCUGACGUCCAA